rnacentral:rRNA from 1 species
GAUGAACGCUGGCGGCGUGCCUAAUACAUGCAAGUCGAGCGAACAGACGAGGCUUUUGCUCCUCUGACGUUAGCGGCGGAAGGGUGAGUAACACGUGGAUAACCUACCUAUAAGACUGGGAUAACUUCGGGAAACCGGAGCUAAUACCGGAUAAUAUAUUGAACCGCAUGGUUGAAUAGUGUAAGACGGUUUUGCUGUCACUUAUAGAUGGAUCCGCGCCGCAUUAGCUAGUUGGUAAGGUAAUGGCUUAGCAAGGGAACGAUGCGUAGCCGACCUGUGAGGGUGAGGGGCCACACAGGAACAGAGAGACGCUCCAGAGACCUACGGGAGGCGCAGGAAGGGAAACUACCGCACUAGGCGAAAGAUUGACGGGGCGAGGCGGCGCGAGAGAGGAGGGGCUUCGGAGGUUGAGACUCUGUUAUGAGAGAGGAAAAAGUGUGGAAGUAUCUAGGCACGUCGUGACUGGACCUGUUCAGAAAGCGACGGCUAACUACGUG